GGCGGACGGGUGAGUAAUGCCUAGGAAUCUGCCUGGUAGUGGGGGACAACGUUUCGAAAGGAACGCUAAUACCGCAUACGUCCUACGGGAGAAAGCAGGGGACCUUCGGGCCUUGCGCUAUCAGAUGAGCCUAGGUCGGAUUAGCUAGUUGGUGGGGUAAUGGCUCACCAAGGCGACGAUCCGUAACUGGUCUGAGAGGAUGAUCAGUCACACUGGAACUGAGACACGGUCCAGACUCCUACGGGAGGCAGCAGUGGGGAAUAUUGGACAAUGGGCGAAAGCCUGAUCCAGCCAUGCCGCGUGUGUGAAGAAGGUCUUCGGAUUGUAAAGCACUUUAAGUUGGGAGGAAGGGCAGUAAGCUAAUACCUUGCUGUUUUGACGUUACCGACAGAAUAAGCACCGGCUAACUCUGUGCCAGCAGCCGCGGUAAUACAGAGGGUGCAAGCGUUAAUCGGAAUUACUGGGCGUAAAGCGCGCGUAGGUGGUUUGUUAAGUUGGAUGUGAAAGCCCCGGGCUCAACCUGGGAACUGCAUCCAAAACUGGCAAGCUAGAGUACGGUAGAGGGUGGUGGAAUUUCCUGUGUAGCGGUGAAAUGCGUAGAUAUAGGAAGGAACACCAGUGGCGAAGGCGACCACCUGGACUGAUACUGACACUGAGGUGCGAAAGCGUGGGGAGCAAACA
rnacentral:rRNA from 1 species